GCAAAUGUCAGCGCCAGCCCAGUCAAAAGAGCUUGAAACCUACCAAGCCGGAGGACUGUGCUGUGCCUCUCUCGCCCACAUUUUCCCCAAGCACUCUCAGGAACCUGGCAACAGACUGAGAGAAAGGAAUGAAAGGAUGGAAGAAUUACAAGAUCAGGCACUGCUGUCUGUCUGUUCCACGGAUGUAACCACAGCACACGCGUGGCUCACGAUGGAUAUCUGAGAGCCAGCGAACUUUCUUUACCUCCUAGUAUCAUUUCAUGAAAAUUAGUAGCACCUGCACAAUGGGGCCUUGGAGACAGGAAUAAAAGGAAAAAUCUGGAAUGGAAUCACAUGACGCAACAGGCUAUGAAGACUCCCUGCCCGGCUGCUAUAUGUCUGGUAAACAGAAUAAAUAGUACUUGAGCA
rnacentral:lncRNA from 10 species